AUACUGCUGAGCUAGGGACCGGGAGAGGCCGAGGGUAUUCCCGGGGUAGGGGUGAAAUCCUGUAAUCCCGGGAGGACCACCUGUGGCGAAGGCGCUCGGCUGGAACGGGUCCGACGGUGAGGGACGAAGGCCUGGGGAGCGAACCGGAUUAGAUACCCGGGUAGUCCAGGCUGUAAACGAUGCGGGCUAGGUGUCACCGGAGCUACGAGCUCCGGUGGUGCCGGAGGGAAGCCGUUAAGCUCGCCGCCUGGGAAGUACGGCCGCAAGGCUGAAACUUAAAGGAAUUGGCGGGGGAGCACUACAACGGGUGGAGCCUGCGGUUUAAUUGAAUUCAACGCCGGGAAGCUUACCGGGGGAGACAGCGGGAUGAAGGUCGGGCUGAAGACCUUACCAGACUAGCUGAGAGGUGGUGCAUGGCCGCCGUCAGUUCGUACUGUGAAGCAUCCUGUUAAGUCAGGCAACGAGCGAGACCCGCGCCCUCAGUUGCCAGCGGGUCCCUUCGGGGACGCCGGGCACACUGAGGGGACUGCCGGCGCUAAGCCGGAGGAAGGUGCGGGCAGCGGCAGGUCCGUAUGCCCCGAAUCCCCCGGGCUACACGCGGGCUACAAUGGCCGGGACAAUGGGUACCGACCCCGAAAGGGGUGGGUAAUCUCCUAAACCCGGUCUAACCUGGGAUCGAGGGCUGCAACUCGCCCUCGUGAACCUGGAAUCCGUAGUAAUCGCGUCUC
rnacentral:rRNA from 1 species